AUGCACACAGUUGCCUCUGACAACAUUAAACUUAAAGCAAGCAAUGUCUCUGUGGCCUCUAAUAAGGAGCUCACUGUCCCUCACCACAUGGACAAAUGCUUCCAGGCUCUCUCACCUCUUCAGCGAGAGGCAACACACAUCGGAACAGAGUACUCCUCAGCAAAGGAAGUGGGACUCUGUCAGCUCCUCCCUGACCUGGCGGCCGUCAACCUAACACCACUCCCUCUGCAGGUGCCUCUGCACCACACACCUGCUCCUUCCCUGGGAUCAGCUAGAACACUUCCCAGGGCAGCGCUGGUGCAGGUGACACCACACUGGGCGCCUUUUCCUCAUGAACUCUCUCCAUCCUCAUCAACUCUUUCUGUCACUGCUCCUCAAAUGCUCGCCCUUGCUCCAUGUGUCCUGUUCUCUGGGGCAUCCCAGGCCAAGCCUAGCGCUGACACAGAACAGCAGUUGCCUAAGGGCCCACAGACUCCCUGGGAAUCAGUCCGGCACCCUGUGACCUGUCUGUCCGCCUCUCCACCCCGGGGGCGAAGAGCGUGCAGCACAGGCCAUGGGGCUCUCUCAGCCCCCUCCUGCACACUGCACAUCACCUGGAAGGAUCUCCUGCUCACAGCAUCACUUUUUAAUUUUCGAACUCGCCAACCACUGCCCAAGUCAGGAUUGAAGCUCAGCCAACCAAAGUUUCUGAGGAAGUAUUAUUCUUCACUUGUCCACAAUUUGCCCCAGAAUGUUGCUGGCUACAUCUGGUACAAAGGGCAAAUAAUGGACUCCAGCAUUACAUUAAGGGUGCAUAUACAAUAGACACUGAAACAAUUAUAUUUGGGCCUGCAUACAGUGGAUGAGAAACAGUAUAUUCCAAUGCAUCCCUGCUGAUCCAGGAGGUCAACCAGAAGGAUGCAGGAUCCUACACUGUAGAAAUCAUCAUAAAGCGAGGUGAUGGGACUGAAGGAGUAACUGGACAUUUCACCUUAUACCUGGAGACUCCCAAGCCCUACAUCUCCAGCAGCAACUUAAACCCCAGGAAGGGCACGGAGACUGUGAUCUUAUCCUGUGAUCCUGACACUCAGGACGUAAGCUACCAGUGGUGGAUAAAUGGUCAGAGUCUCCCUAUCAGUCGCAAGUUGCAGCUGUCUGAAAACAACAGGACCCUCGUUCUAUCUGGUGUCAGAAAGAAUACUGCAGGACCCUAUGAAUGUGAAAUGAAGAACCCAGUGAGUUCCAGCCGCAGUGACCCAGUCACCCUGAAUCUCCUCUAUGGUCCAAAAGUCCCCAGGAUUUUCUCUCCAUUGACCAAUUACCGUUCAGGAAAAACCCUCCAGUUGUCCUGCUUCGCGGACUCUAACCCACCGGCAGAGUAUUCUUGGACGAUUGAUGGGAAUUUUCUGCAAUCAGGACAAAAGCUCUCUAUCCCCCAAGUUACUACAGAGCAUAGCGGGCUCUAUGGUUGCUCUGCUCGUAACUCAGCCACUGGCAGGGAACGUUCCACAUUCAAGAGGAUCAAAGUCUUUCCUCGUUCAGGAACAGGACGUCCAUCCUGGCCUUAAUCCGAUAUAGCAGCCGUGAUGUCAUUUCUGUAUUUUGGGAAAACUGGCAGACAGUUGCUUUGAUUCUUCCUUGAAGUAUUUAUAAUCAG